rnacentral:rRNA from 1 species
AUUGAACGCUGGCGGCAGGCCUAACACAUGCAAGUCGAGCGAGCGGCGGACGGGUGAGUAAUGUAUGGGGACUGCCCGAUAGAGGGGGAUAACUACUGGCAACGGUGGCUAAUACCGCAUACUAUCGGAUAACCCAUAUGGGAUCAGCUAGUAGGUGGGGUAAAGGAUAACCUAGGCGACGAUCUCUAUCUGGUCUGAGAGGAUGAUCAGCGCGACUGGGAAUGGAACACGGCCCAGAACCCUACGGAGGCACCAGUGAGGAAUAUUGCACAAUGGGCGCAAACCUGAUGCAGCCAUGCCGGGUGUAUGAAGAAGGCAUUAGGGUGGUAAAGUACUUUAGGCGGGGAGGCGUUCCGCGCAGAAGAAGCACCGGCUAACUCCGUGCCAGCCGCCGCGGUAAUUC